rnacentral:rRNA from 1 species
UACAGAGGGGGCAAGCGUUGUUCGGAAUUACUGGGCGUAAAGGGCGCGUAGGCGGCCCGCUAAGUCGGACGUGAAAUCCCCAGGCUCAACCUGGGAACUGCGUCCGAUACUGGCAGGCUUGAAUCCGGGAGAGGGAUGUGGAAUUCCAGGUGUAGCGGUGAAAUGCGUAGAUAUCUGGAGGAACACCGGUGGCGAAGGCGGCAUCCUGGACCGGUAUUGACGCUGAGGCGCGAAAGCUAGGGGAGCAAACGGG